GAGAGGAAAGGCCUUCCAUGAACUAAAAAUGAAAGGAUGUGAGUUGCUGUGGUGAGUCCAGCCUAUUUGUGGGUCUCCAGAUGGAGGGCUAUGAAGCCAAAGACUUUUUUCCCCCUCUGCUCUCGCUAUCAGCUGUGAGUUGUAGAGGUUACAGAAGCCAUGAGAUUCCCCCAAAGAGUAGGGAAUCCUAAACACUGUGACAUAAUGUGAUGUGAUGUGAUGUGAUGUGGAGGACUAACAACCUGGGCAAAUCUUUAAUCUGAGAUACACAAGAGAGUCAUUAAUACUCCAGCCUCUGUAAUGAUGAUGCCAAGCAUUAUUUUCCUAAAAUGGGAGCAAACAAAGAUGUGUUUCUUGGGCCAUCCUGCAACCUGAGCUUCUUCCACCUGGUUUUCCCUUUCCUAUCAAUAGACUGUGUCCUUCUGCCACAUUUAUCAGCAGUGAGGUGGGAGGACCAACCAAAAAUUCCAGAAAAGGCAAGCAGCCAAACAUCUAAUAAUACUUUUUAAAGCACCAGAAAAACAUAAUCUAAAUAUAUAAUUGACAGAGAAGAGCACCUUGGAAUAAGAGCACUAAAAGCACAGAUCUGCCACCUAAACCUUGACAACUGCACUUUUGCUGGUUCACCUCCAAUGUGCUGGUGGAGCCGAAUCAUUAGAUACCAAUAAUUAGAUUUCUGUACAUUAAGACCUGCCUUUAGAUGUUCUCCUCCUCGCUUAUGUGGUUUUUUCAUACACUGCUUUUAUGUGUUCCUUUUAGCAUUAUGCACAAGUCAGACUCAUUCUGACAACACAUGCAACAUUACAAAGAGAUGUUGUAAAAUAAACUCAGAAAAAUGGAAGAAUGCUUUUUUUUUUUUCAAUAUUAUGAUUAGAAACUGGUAGAAGAACCAGUGUUCAGGUCCAUGUGAGGUUAGGGACAAUUCAUGAUUAGUUUUAAGUCUAAUGGCCAAAAAUUCUACAAGGUUCCCAGGAGCCUUACGUUCCAGUUGAGAAUGUCAGCAUGAGAGGAGGUCUUCAGAGUAAUCACAGGUUUUCAAUUCUGGAACCUUGGAGUUUAUAAACUCAGCCAGGAUCUAAAUGUUAGUGCCUGACUUAAGCCCUUCAGACAGGGGAGUCCUUCUGUUAUAGGAGACUGAUACCUGGUUACAGAUGAAAGUACUGAUUUCCUAUUUAAUACAAAUAGCUGACACUUAUAGUACUAAGAAUAUGGCUACUCAAUGACACAGCUGUGUUUUAGCAGUUUGAAGGUGCAGUCUCUUCAUUGCCUGCACUCAUACUGGCAUACAGUGCUCUAGAAGACAAGCACAGCAGAAAUCCUGGAAAUCUUGGAACUUGCUUAACCUAUACUAUUUUUUGCUCAAGCAACUUGAUAGGUAGGCUGAUUUCACUGUCAGCUAAAAAAAACCCAAACAAACCACAAAAACUAACAGAUAGCAAAAAAGCUAUUGAAAAAAUUAAGCUGAAAAUUGAAACGAAUCCAUGGAUGUACAUCCAGAAGUCCAUCGAGAAAACCAAAUUGCAAUGCGUAACAACAGGGGGUCUGAAAGCAUUUCAGAGGGAUCUGAGGGAAGACAGGGUACUGCACAAAGAGGAUCCAUUGGACAUCACACCCCAAACCUUUGCAUUACACUUCUGAGUAGCUGCAGUCUGCUUAUACUUGGCUGAUUUACUUAUCUUCCUUGAAUUCUAGGAGUUGCCCACAGUGAGAGGAAAGAUUAAGUGACAGAUACAGGGGCCAUCCAUCAGAAAUUGGUGCUUUGGGUUCUUGCCUAGUUUGCUUAACAAGUGUAAUGGCUUUGAUGGCCACCCUGACAAGACUAGGCAUGGGUUCCUUGUCAGGAGCAAAGCAACACAUCGGUGAUGGCCAGGCAGCAGCAGUACAUGACAUGCUGCUGUGGAAAUUGCAAACAUUUAAUGAACAUAAACGUCCUGCCAAAUAGACAUACACGAGGAUGGAAAACAGCAGUAAUAAAAGUCACUCAGACUCACCCAUAACAACUCAAAGCUACGCUUGGAGCAUGCACAUGAUUUAAAAAAUGGAUGCAGCAGCUAUUUUCUAAAAAAUCUAAAAUGGAUUUGUGUAUACUACUGACUGCUCUGCAAAAUACAUUGAGAUAAUUAGAUAAAAGUUAUUGAGUGCUCUUAGAGGUGAAUGAGUUGAAUUAAUAUUAGGCUACAAAUUACUGAACCCCCCAAAUGCCCAAUCUUGGUACACUGUGGUUCCUACUUUGGGGUGAAACAGUCAUCAGCGUUUCAAAUGCUCUUAGCAGAAGGCACUGCAGCGGGUCAGGCUGAAAACGACCAUUUUCUCCAUCUUUUCACAACGAUUUGAGGUUCCCAGACUGAAAUAUUAACAGCCUUGCUGAACCAGAAUUAUUCCGCUUCCCUCGCUUCCUGCCUGCUUCUGUCAGAAAGCCACGGAGCAUACAAUGGCAGCGCACAGCUAACCAUAUAAUUGAUAACUCCCCAGUCUAUUCACUGUGGGAAUCUGUCAGUUAAAGCCUAAAGACACACACACACACGCUAUGAAAAUGAACUUACAUAAGUCUCCCUGUGAACUGAAUGCAGCCAACAUUUUGAUGUUUAAUUGGCUGGGUCCGGUUUACCAGCGCACACAUGUAUUCCAGGAGCGGCUCGCUGUACUCGGGCUCUUCCUGACAGAUCUAUUUAGUCAAAAGGAGGUGUAUUUUUCCCCAGGUAAUUGCUCAGAACCAUGCUUCCAAAGUCAAACUGAUUCAAACUUUGCUUAUUCACUCUUUGCAGACACGCAAGUGGGGACUAUUUGAAAGCAAAUGAAAAAUCCAUAGAUCAAUGUGCGGAGCCUUUCCUACACAGUGCCACGGAGGGAGUCUAUUUCAAACAGGGCUGGUUGUCAGCGGCAGUUACUGCCAGCAUCUUUUUAAAUAUACAUCUUUCAGAGCAAUACAGGUCUUUGAGAUAAUGAAAGAUUUGCAACUGCUAUAUUAUCCACCAAGAAGAGAUACAUACACUCAAAUUGGGCAUACUCCCACACGUAGGUUCCUGCUAAGUAGGAGGAAAAAAAGAAAUAAUUGACAGUUAUUCAACUAUUUGUGAAUAUUUUCUACCUAGACUUAUUCCUCUAAUUAAUAGGAUGUGUCUGAUAAAGUGUGAUUGUUAGAGACUUUUUCCUGUGGGCUUGGUGGUUGGAUGUGAAAGCAUUUGGAAGUCAUUUCCCUAUAUCUGACGUGGCAUACAACCCCAAAUUAUUCAUUUUGCACCUCUUUGGCUUCAAGUCAACAACUUCAAAAAGGCUGAGACUGUGUCAUCACAUAUAUGUCACAGAGACUAUGGAUAAAACUUGUGUUUUACUUGCCUACAGAGCAGAAUGGGUUCUAGGUCUUUCUACUGCCAAAACAAAUAUCUACUCGGAAUUUCCUCAAGUCUAGACAUGAAUUUCACCAAUUUAGGCAAUCAAGACAUAUUUGGCUUUCUUCUCUCCCUCCCCUCAAGACUACAAAGAAAUUGAAUGAUUUCCAGAGAUUUCUGGUCUUUCCCAAAUCAUUACUCAAAAUCAUUCUGACGAGGAGGCUUCAGCACUUGUGCUACUCAAGGAAGGACACCAGCUUGUGAAAAAUUUAAUUGCAGGGGGAGAUAAAGACCAUCAGCAUCCUUAUUAGCACUGUCCAGCACGUUUGCACCACAACAUCCACAAGCAGCUUCCUCCUCCCCCAGCUGCUUGGAUCAGGAUGGCACCCCCACUGUGCUGACAAUACUUUUUAUAACUGGUAGUUUUUAAAGGUACCGAAACAUGGUCAGAGAACACCUUCAACUGUACUGGGGAAGGGAAACACUCAUAACCUCUUCUUCACCCCCUGGGUUACAAUCCCUUAUGGUUUCUUGGUUGUAGAUGUUACUGUCAAAUUUUCCUACCGUACCCCAUCAACUUCCAUCCAGGGUUUUAAAAAGAUGGCACCGUGACACAUCUGGGGGAGAGCACCCUGACUACAGGGAAGGAUCAUCUAUGUAUUCCCAGAAUUAAAGCACUUCUUCCUGACACCAUUCCCAGAGUGCACCUUCAAGCCCUUCCUUUUCCAAGACAAUUAUCCAAAGGACUAAGUGCCCCCUCACAGCUUCACACCUUCACCUUCACCUCCUGGAACACCACACGCUUCAGAACCUGCAGGGCCUGCUUACAGUUCACAUAAACACAGGAAUAUUUUUCCAAUUUACGUCUUCUUUUUCUCUUCUGAAAAUAUAAGCUAAUGGAAAAAAAUAUUUUCACAAGUUAUUACUACACAUUAACGAUAAAACUAGGGAGCAUUAGUUCCAGAAGGGCACAUUUUCAGUAAUGAUGAAGAAGGACAUAUAAAUUACCACCACAGAGCUUCACAGGUCCAUUUCUGGGCCAACCAUGAUUAAAUUAACUACAAAAAGACACUUGACACCACCAGCGUAACACUUGACUGAAUUUGGGACUCGUGUAGGGAUCUCACUGAAAACUAGGACGUUAAACAAACCACUUGUGCAAUAUUAACCACAUUCAUGCGUAUUAUUUAAUGCAGUGGGGUGCUUAUUACAUUGUUAAUGUUUCAACAAAACAAAAUAAAUUGUGCCUUCAUCUCCAUCCAUGGCUCUUGUAACAAACUGGAGUUUUUUCCAAAUGCAUGGCCUUGAAAAAAUAAACUCAAGCUUUUCACUGAACUAGUUUUUAAGAAGGCAUAGCUUGUUUUAGAGAUUCCAGCUAUUAGUCACUUAACAUUUAUAAUUAUUUGAUUCAUCAGAUAGUCAUAAUUCACCACCUGAUCUGGAAGCUGGUUAAUCAACUGACUGUUUUAUUCCUAAGUAUUUCAGUAUAUUUGACCAAAUUCAAUGAAUGACUACUUUAUCAAUUCCUUUUGUUAACAGGCUGGUUUCUUCAUUGGGCUUAAUUUAAUUUGAUUUCACUGUAACAGCUGACAUAUGGGGAGAUUAAAAAAAUCUAGGGUACCUCUGCACAAAAGCAACUUCUUGGAAGCAGGAUAAAGACAUCCAGAGAACUAUGUUUUCUGCCUAAUUUUUUUUUUUGCCUCUGAAAAAACAAAGCCACUUGAAAGAAGAAAGUUAAGAGUAAAUUAAUUGCUUAACAAACCAUAAAAAAACAUAGAAAAGAACUAAAAAGAGAAUAGGGACAUUCAAACUAGUGAAAAUUCAGGUCUAUUUUUAAUAAUUGGAGUUCUUAGGGGCAUAAGAAUUAUAUAUCAGUUUAAAAGCAUGAGUAAUGUUUUGAACUUUACAGCAAAAGAAUAAAAAGUCUCUAUCAAUUCUUUUCUCCCCUGGAAAAAUAAUUUCCCCUCAAAGGCCACAUGCUUCCCAUAACAUGUUUUCAGAACUGAACACUCAGAGUUGAAAACUUUCAUGCACAGAGCAAAAGGCUCAGGGGAAAAAAAAAAAGAAAAGCCACCACCCCAUCCCAGAAAUAAACCUGCCAUUGCCAUACCCUUGUGAGACCGUAGGAUAAUAAAACCUCAUUGUUUUUUGUUUAUCAGAUGAUAUAAGUUAUGAAUUUUUAAAGGAGUGUCUUUUACAGCAGACAGGUUAUUUCUGUAGGCUAAUUUUUCAUAGCCACUUUGCAUUGAAACCUCCAGCUUCAUGAAGAUGAUAUUUCUAGAACAAUUCUAUUUUUCUUCUUUUAUCACCUUAGUAGUCUUUUCCCAGCUGUAUCCACAGGGGAAUGGAAAUACCCAAUUGCAAACGUGACAGCGCUGACUUCUGCAAAGUAGCUUAAUUACUCAUUACGAGAUUCCAUCAACAGAAGCUCCGGUCUGUGGUUUUGUAAUAAGUGCUGUUAUCUUUCCUUGGAUUUUCAUUCCUUCACAAAGGGGGAUAUGGCAGUGCUUUCCACAUCCACAUUUUAUACGGAGAGGAAUGAGAGAAUUUUAAUGCAUGAAUUUGAUGUCAUUAACAAUGCUGACAGCUGUUUAAUCCCAGAGGAAACAACAGCUGAGUCCCAACUGCACCAACAAAAAAAAAAUUAAAAAAAGUAAAAUAAAAUAAAUUAACUCUUCAGUGCAUCUCACUAGAGUUACAGUAUGAAUCAAAUGUUUCACACCCUGACUACAUUUUUUUGUCAAUUAUUUAGUUACAGAAUCCGUAACCUUGACUGAUAACAAAAACAAAAGCUACUCCAUCCUGACUGCUAGACUUGAGUUCAUAGAACAGAUUUAAUAAAUGGUCCUGUUCUAAAUUUCCUGUUAAUUAAAAUUAAAUCCUACCUCAAUCACAAAGUGAAAUAAACCAGCACAACAACAACAAUAAUAAUAAGUAUAAAUAUGGGUGAAGCUGAGCUCCUGAAAAAUAACAUAGAUUAAUCCGAAAGGGGUGGUAUAAAAACUACAUUUAAAAUGGAUCCUCCAGUAGAAGUAAAAAAUACAACACAUGUUAUGCUGCAACUCUGUUACCAUUUAAUUUAAAAUAGGAGGUUUAGAUACGAGCCAAUGACAGCAAAUUUGCUUUUGUUCUGUUCCUCCACACACAUGCCCACACUACAAGGACUUUUUAAGGGUAUGGAAUGAAAAGGAGUAUUUAUAACAUGUAUAUUUAGAAUAUGUACACACACUUCUUUAAUCCAUCUAUUUUUUCAUUGGCUAUGGCAUCGUUUCCCAUGUCCAUAUUUUUUUUUGAGUUUUGCCACUGACUUCAAUAUUAAAAGACACAGGCGAGAGCUGAUUAAGACAUAUCUUUACAAUCCACAGUCCUCGUGUAACAGAUAAAGCUUCAUAAGCCCUGCCUUGGGAAGGCUCCCACUCAUUUAGAACACUAGACUUUAAACAGAUGUCUAAAAGUAUUCAUGUUAUAAACAGCAACAUUAUAUGAAUUUAAAUCUCGCUCUUUGUCUGACCAUCCUCUCUUCAAUAGCAGCUGUUUCCCUUCAUCUGGGAGAGGGGGCUGCCUUCGUGGCUCACCCAGGGCUCCCCUUUCCCGGGGACGUGGCCACCCCUCUCCUCCCACGUCCGAUCCCUGAUCCCAGGGAGGGCUCUGGGGGACUGAGAUGUCCGAGUGUGACAGCACAAGUCGGACGAGCUUUGAGGUCUGGGAGAAGCAGCGUGUCAGCAGGUUGAUGAACUUGAAAUCCCGGCAUCAUGAAGAAUGCAAAGGUCUCCCCAUUAGACUAAACGAGGCGACUUCGGGCACGGAAAAUGUGCUACUCAAAUACCUCAUAACAAGACAGGCAGUCAUAUUUUCUUGCAGUUAAUACGGCAGAGGGGGAGGGGAAAACAGAUUUUUACCUUUUGAUGUUCGGAAACAGUUCAUUCUCAAUAGGGGAAUAUUAUGUGACAAAUGUGCCAGACUUCUUUUUUUUUGUGGUAAUAUUGCUCUUUGCAAAUGGCACACAUCCAAUCCAAUUGAAUGUAAUAAAAUGAAACAAUCUGUGCCAUCUUCAAUGGGUUUAAUCUAUACCAUGUUAAUGAAUCCUUAAACAGACGUGCAUGAUGUUUUCCUGAAAUACAUGUAGUUAUACUGUGCUCAGUAUACUUGUCAGCUUGAAAAUAAUUUCUGCUUGAGAGACCACCUGCUAUCAUCAUCCUAUUUAGAAGCAGCUCAUAUUUAUUUGGAAAAAGAGAAAUAAUAGUUAAAUAAAGAAGUGACUUCUCUUUACCCAAGCAAGGACAGUAAAAUGGCUUGGAUCCUCUCUGCACACUCAGGGAUAAUUUUUUUCCUUUGCACCAGCUGCUUCCAAAAAUUUCUGGUAUAUUUGUACUAAUACAGCAAUAGGCAAAUGCUGCUUAUUCUCAACUAGCAGGAAAUGGGGGAACACCAUUUCCAUUCUGAUAAGCUAAAACAUUAGAGUUGAAAAGAUGAAGUGAGUUAUGUGACAGGUUUCAGACAUUAUGCCAUAUGGGUUUCAUUACAGUGUAUCAUAUAAUUUUAAGUUAUUAAAUAUGCCAGAAAAGCAUACUUGUACUUGAUGAAACACCCAAAUACUAAGUAUACAGUAUAUUUUUUCUCCUAUUUAGACUUUGCAAAUGUAACAAAGAAAUAUUAUGCUUCUACUCCCUGGCAUUUAUUUGCUGUAAAGAUGGAGGAAAGUAGAUCAACUUUUCCUAAAAAGACACCUAAAACAAACCAUAUUUUUCUGGCAAAUGCCGUUAGCAAAACCACUACUUUUCACCCACAAAGAUAUAAAGGAAUCAAUCCAUAAGGUUGUGAGAAACUGGAUGAGCACCAGAAUACAAUGUAUAAAAGGACACCUAAAGAAUAUUCAGCACAUAAACCCAAAAAUCCACAAACUCACCAACUAUCUGCCCAAACUGAGGUGCAUGACUUGUCCAACCGACUGUGUGAUGCUAAUGGGAUGAUAUUUAGGUUAAUUUUGAAUUUAUGUGAUUUUCUGGUUUAAUAACACAAGUGUAAAAGGGUGAAGUUUACCAUCAUGCAGAGGAAUCAAGAAAUACAAUUUUCACUCUUUACUGCAAUAGAAUAUUUUUUAAAAAAAAGAGACAGGAGGAGACAGAAUGGAAUAGCUACAUGCCAGGGGAAUAUUUGCAUGCCAGUUACUCAUGUGCUAAUCUGAACCACGAACUUUAGAAAGUAAAUUUUACCAAGGUACAAUAAGAGUUUUUCUAUUUCAUAAAUAAGCACAUUUAGGCCACAUACUCGAUAAAAAUGUAAUUUGCAGACUAUAUGUUGUGGGUUUUCUUACUUUUACUGGACUAGAAUGUCAUCAUGUACAGAACUGACAUUGAUUUGAACAUCAUCAGGGAAAAACAAGUUUUGCAAUGAUGAGGAAUCCGUAACUGAUACUGGCCACCAAACCUCAGACAUUUACUCUUCUCCUUGACGUAUAACAUAAAUUUUAUACCAGCUUGCUGUUGUGAUCAGGUUCAUCUCAUUCUACAUAUAUAGAUGAUCUUCAGUUUCUUUUGGCAGGAAAGCCCCUCCUACUUGACAGCAGAGGUGACAGCACUUAAUAGAUGGCCAGAUGAUUUUCCUUUCUGAGCAGGAGAAUUUGCUCCCUUUUUAUACCCUCAUAUUUGUGUAUAACUCUAAAGGUGGAGAGAACUAACUCGAUGUCAUAAGAAAAUUCCAGCUGGGAAGAUACUACAGGAGCAGUGGGGUAGAGCCUAUGUGCUGGUGUUCUCACUGAACAAUUCUACGUGACAGAAUUUUUAUGCUCAGCCUUAACAUGUUAACUGCAAUAGGGGUUUUUUUGGUGAAAAAUAAGUUUUUUGGGUUUUUUUUUUCCUCUCUUUAAGAGGAUGAUUGCUCACCUCUAUAAUGGGUUGCUGCCACAACACGUUUUACAUCAAGUUAUCUUAAGAAACCACAUGGAAAUGUCAGUUGUGUUACUGCUAAGUGGCAUUUCUGAUACAGCACAUCCGAGUAGCUGGACCUCAGAGACUUUGCUAAUUUGUUUUCUGGUGUAAUUCCAAGUGUUGGUUUUUAAAGUGAGAAAUGCUUUAUUGUGUUUUCUGUGGUGACUUUUACAGAAUCCUUCUGUGUGUGUUCAAAGGUGGAAGCUGAGGCUACUGAACCCUGGAGCUGACAAUGCCUUCAUCUGCAUGACUGGGAGUAAGGUUAUUGUCACUACAGAAACUCUUCCUUCCCCCCACAUAAAGUCUUAUUUUUACAGGGCCACGAAAACCCAAAUCUAAAUCCACACUUCCUCUCAGCUCACGAUGGAAAGAUUAAAAGCAUCAGCAGAGCCAUCAAGAGGUGACACUGUGGAUCAUCACAACCCUGGAGACAUCCCUGGGACAUCGAAUUUCUCGCCAAGGGGUUGUAGGUAGUAAAAGACACACAUCUACGUGCUCAGUGAACACAGGAGCAGCACAGCAGAGCGGUGCCCAUGACCAGGGGCAAUUUUGCUUCAACUACCAUCACCUUUAUCUUUCCAUCAAUUCCAGUCAAAACACGUUUCCCAAAAUCAAGGCCUUUCUCCUUGGCUCAUUACAGUUGACCUCUUGCUACAUAAUGAGGCAGAGAAUGCCCUGCAAUAUUGGAAGUAUGUAAGAAAUAGUUGGCUUCAUACCCAAACCAGAAAACUGAGGCUCAGUGUGUGUCCACAGCUAAACAAAGGUAAGUUAAAAAUUCAUAUUUUCAAGCUUGUCUUGAAUUUUCCUGUAAUUGUAACAUAAAAAGCCCUAAUUAUUAGGGAAGAAAAAACAUAGAGGAUCCUCCCCUCAUCCCAAGAUCACAUGGUGGGGGAUGCAAAUGCAAUAUAUGGUAGGAAUAACAAAUGCUUUAUUUUCCAAGCACUCUCCCAUGAUUUAUGAAAGGUGUUCCUCACUGUGGGAAGAUAAUGCCAUUUGAAAUGGUCCAUUUCAUAAAUCUAUCCUCCUCAUCCCUAGCUGCGUGCAGGACUACUGUGAGCUCCUGAAUCCAAUAACGUUUUCAUCCUCUAUUGACAAAAAAAAAAAAAAUAAAAAAAAUUAAAAAAGGACUUUGUUUGGAGUGAGGUAAUGAUGCAGUUGUAGAGGAGCAGCGGCUAAAGCUCGCUCUCAGGGGCUUUCCUUGGCACAGCCACACAGCUGCAAGGGAGAGGAAACGAGUAUAAACAGAGAGAAGAAACAAUCAACACCUACUACAUCCCUGAUGUCUUUUUAGCGCUAGUGGCAUUAAUUAUAAUGUAUGCCCGAUCCUCUGCACUGCCACAUAACCAAAUGUUUUGCCUGAAUUUUCUCUCCAUCCCCACAACAGAUUUAUCACUGGGAUCCCAGCUAUUUCCUACUCAUCUGUUCACCAUCCCAGUCUAUCUGCUUGUUUAUUUGCAAGGCUGCUUCCAGAAGAUGUUUCCGUGCCAAAUGUGGUGGUUUCUGCAGACAGGGACUAAUCAUAAACGCAAGAGAAAUUCAUUUUACUGAUUUUUUAUGUUGCAAACAAUGGCAGGGAGUAAAGAGGAAAAUACUUACUAUCCUCGAUAUGAUGGAAAAGUUUUGAGCUGGGACUGAAAACCAUUAGAAGCAAUGCUUGGAGAAUGGGAGUACAGGGAAAUCAAGGGGUAAAAUAUGAGAUGAAAAUGUUUUCGGGAGCAUUUGACGUGUAAAUGCAGCCAACAGAAAUAUUUAAGAGGGUUUUAUAUUAUUUGCGCUAUUUAGGAAGGAAAAGAUGGAAGCCCCACAAGUUUCUCAUUUCAUGUUGGAACAGGGGGUUGUCCUGCUUGGUUUGCCUUCUCUGACACUCUGAAGAGUCAUUAAAGAAAAUUAGGCAUAGAUCAGUCAAUUUUAGAUACCUGCUUAGUUUUUGCUUUUGUUAGGGAGCUGGAAGCUCUACACUGGACCAGCAGCAUGGUCACAGAUUUCAUGAGCCAAUUUUGGCAGGCUUCUCAUCCUGCUGAAGUGAAAUUUAGCGUUUUGACCAAAUUUCCCACCGACUGCUUGAGCAAUGCCAUUUUUCUACACUUUGCUACACACAGUUCCAGAGGCUGAUGAAUGGCCUUUGUAGAACACGAAAUUUCUAUGGCUUUGGCAAGAACUUUACAAACUAUAUACAUGUUUUGAACUGUCACUUUGAGAUCUUAAUUUACAUAUUUUGACUUGUGCAUGAAAAGCAAUUUCAAGGUCAGGCUCUGUGAAGAAAUACUGGGUAACUCCAUUAAAAGUCUACUGGUACUUUGCAUAUUUAUUUUUCUUCCCUGUAGUAUGCACGGGAUCUCAUAAAUCAGGAUAAACAAACAUCAGAGGUCACACAUAGGUGUGCUCAGUGCAUUUCCACACCUAGCAUGAAGGUGUUCUGCAAAUACCUGAUUGCCUCCAGAGUAACAGCAGAGAAACUUUGCUCCCUAAAAUAUGUAUUUAUUUCUAGGGGUACAAGGUUGGGAUGAAGUCUGUCGGGAAGUAUUGAGAAAAAAAAGAAAUUAAAAUCUACAGUCCUUGCACAUUUAUGGAAGGUACAAUCUCUCACAAUACAUGGAGCCCUAACUGUGCCUGUAGCACAGAUUAUACAAAGAAAACAAAAAAAUGAACCAUGAAACAUAAGAAAUCAUAAAGCAACACCAAAAGAAGAAGAAGAAAAAAAACCAACCCAAACCACAAGAUGUUCCCAGCCAUCAUCUCUCUCUAAAGAUGUAAGAUUUUAUCAGAUUGUGAAAGUCUUAUUGCUAACACUUCCUAGAUGAUAUUCUGAAUUCUUCUGGAAAUAUCAUCAGGCAGCAUUGCCUUAUCAACACAGCUCAUCAUCUCCAGGACUGCUGCCUUGGCUGUUCACUCUCCAUCCUCCCAGAGCCAUAUCACUCUUGGAAGCAAUGGAAAAACCCCAAACUCAUUACAGUCACGAGCUUUUAUGUCACACCCGAGGCUACAGAUUGUGGGACUGGAACUCUAAAACACAAUAGAACUGUGAAAGCAGCAUUGCUAAAACAGUAGGGAUGAGAACACCAAAACCAACUCAUUUAGACAGUAGAGAUGACUGCUUUCCACCAACAGAGGUGACAAACUGGAAAAAAGACCAUCCUGUGCUGCUGGAUAACUCCAGGCAAGAUGGUUACUACCUUACUAUCCUGUUUCAACAUUUUGUUUUUCCUUGAAGGCUGCAGCCAUGUGUACAAUAUGGGAUAGGAAUACUGUAUUUGGGGAACUGCUAAAAAUCACUCUCUUUUGGACUCAAGUUUUGCAAGUGGAUCUGUACAAAAGUGGCUGAUGUUUGUUGGAGCACCAACAGGAUAGAGCCCUUUUUAAACGUAAUUAUAGAAAAUAGAUCCUGAAACUUAAAAUCUGCAUCAAAGACUUUUUAUAUAAUGCUAUGGUUAUCCAGAAAUUUAAACAUAUAAUCUUGGUCUUUGUUGAAGCAUAUAAAUUCCCCAGUCAAUUGUGUGCAUGGAGGUUUGUAAACGUGGUUGCUCUAAAAAAGCCCCAACCCCAAAAACCUUUUAUUGUUGUGCUAAAACAUGGUUUUUUCAGAGGGAAUCAUGGUGGCUUUUUUUUUCAUUUCUGGGUGAAACUACCAGUAUCUGAAACUACCAGGAAAAGAAUCUUGAAUAUCAGAGUGCAAAAUCUUAAAAACUUUCCCUACUGGAAGAAGUUGCAGCCCACUGUUCAUGCCUUCUCCAGCUGUGGGAGGCAGGAAGGAGCAAUAAUUUUGAUGUCUAUGGGCAACAAGAGAGAAUCUCCCCUUGUGAACUACAGGCCAAAGGCAGGUCUCAAAAUUCCAGUAGGGUUGGAAGCUUUGAUGGGACAGCACUCCCAGUUUCCCUGUGUUUCAUAAACUGAGUGAACUUCAAUACACAAACUGCCUUGACCAUCCUGACUGACAAACCCCUGGCCUUUAAGAAUGAUUUGAUGUUCGUAAUGAUCAGAUUUCUUCCUAACAUGAAUUAGGACAGGAAUCUCCCAACAGGAUCACAAGCCCCAAGGAACAAUGGCAGGAAUAAGAGGUGCAUACUACAGGACAGUAGUUUAUCACUCCAAACAACUCUCCAUCACCCAAAUUACUGUGCUCCAGUAAACACUCUGUCUCCUUUUUGACCGAGUCAAGAUGAAGAAGGGCUAGCCCACGACUUGGCACAGAACAAGGCAUGAGAGAAUGAGCAAGCCGAGGAUCAAUACAAACAAAAUAGAGGUGACAUUAAUUGCUUGGAGCAUUAAUAGACCAAGUGAGAGAGUAGAAACUAGCUUAGUUUUGAAAACCAAGGGUGUUUGCCUGCCUUUUGCGAUCCACUUUUCCAAGAAUGGACAUAAAUGUCACUUUUGUCUGCCGAGCUCUGCGCAGGCUCUGGCGGAGAGGUGGCAGCAAAAGGUCUCCCCAGGGUGUUCUGCAGGGGGUGGAUGCAGCAUUGGGCCCCCCAGGAUGCAAAAAGAUGAGUUAGUUGUACCACACCGUUGUUCUAUCAUUUUUAAUACUCGGCAGCACGCUCAGUGCCUCUUGAUGGGUUCACUGUAGUUAGUCUAAACUGAAAAAAAACCCACUCAAAACAACAACCAACCACCAAACCCAUGCAAGUCUAAAUAUAUGAAACUUCAGUUUUAAAAGCUUGUUUUUCCAAGGCUACUUGAUCUGUUACUUGGGAUGAAUCACAUUCAGACCACGGCUUCAAUAUUUUUCUUUCAAGAUCAGCAAUUGCUGGACACUUUGUGAUUCUGAAGGAAUAGUAAAUAAAUAAACAAAUAAAUAAAAUUCUAUAGGGAUGUUCUGUGCUGGCAAGACCCAAUGUGGAGCCUCAGUCCUUGUGAGUGGCCUUUGAGAGCCCCCUGUAGCUGCUGACUGGUAAAAAUUGAAGUAGUUUUGUUAUUCUUACUGCAAACAUUUACCUUCUGAAUCCUCUUGCUAAUGAAAUCAGAUGGCAGUGCUUCAGUUAAGUUUAGGUAGCAAAGUGUAGGCUCUGUGCAGCUGUGCUGCUUGGGCCCCUGCUCACCUCCUCUCUACCACGGCAGUAUAUUUAUUUUAACAUUUGACAGUAUCUAUCAGAUUUUAAAGAGCUUGCUUAAUGACCUUUUCCAAAAUCUUCCAUUCAUUUCUUUAGUUUCUCAUUUUCUCUCCCUUUUUCUUUUUAAAAUAAAUUACUGUUAUAAAAACAAAUCCAGCAGAAGGGAAAAUAUUCAGUGCCUAGAAACUGAAAAAUUGAAUAUUUGCUUUUUAUGGGGCACUGGAGUCUUCUAAAAUACAGAACUGCUAGAAAACUUAAAUGCUGAGGACAAAAAAGUUCACUCAGUAGCUCUGCAAAUACACUACAGUUUUGAAUCUCUUUGAAAAAUAAUUUAAAUACUUGUGUUUCAAUUUAUGGUCUUAAAACGCCUGAAAAACACAUUCCUACUUUUUAAAUGGAUUUUUUUAAGCGAGUCCUAAAUACACUUUGAUUAUUUCCAUUCUUGACAUUAUGCCUACUCAGGUAUUUUGCACAGCAAUUUGAAAGCAGAAAGGCAAUUCCUAGCAAUACCAACAGGUAUAUAUUGAUUUAACAAACACCUCCUCUUAAAGAUGCACUUUCUUCUUCCCAUGGAAGAGAAAAUGUGAAUUUAAACUGAAUAAAGCCAAAAGCUAAAACACAUUGUCUAUAAUGAUUUCUUUGAUGGAGAAAGCUCAGGUUCAAGUUCAUUAUCUUGGUAUUUUCAGAAGAGUUUGCCUGCAGCUUUUAGGAACAACAUUUAACUGAAUUUUAUAUGUGAACAUUAAAGAAACAGUAAUGCACAGGUAUAAAAUAAGUGAUCAAACUGAAAGUAAAGUGUUCAGCUUUCUCCCUGUUAGCCUACACUGUUAUUAUCUUUUCAGAAGAUGUCAAAACCUCUUCUCAGGAAUUCUCAUUUUUCAUACAUUUUGGAAGUAGGUACAAUUACUUUAACAGCUCUCUAUAGCACUAAGACAUCUGUAGCAAAAACGGUUAUUUACUUCAAAGCAAGAAGAUUUUUGAAGGCAGAAAGGAAUGACAGGCAGAAACAGAAGGCCAGGGACACCGCUACUGAACUUCUGCGUUUAACAAAAGACAAAUACAAAGAAUAUUUUAUGUAAAUGUGUAUUUACAAAGGACAAACUGCAUUUGUAGGCAUGUGUACCAUAUAACCAGAGGCCAGAGCAAUUAGAAAUUCUCUUUUCAAUUCCCGACUGGAGCUUCAGUGUGGAACACAAACUGGAACGAGCACACAGUCAUUAUGUUAUUUCGUCCAAGUCGGAAUACUGACUCAGUUUUCAGCACAUGCCCCUGAUCCCUUGAAAGUAGGACUCAUAUGAAAAAUAACUCAAAGUCCAAGCCUUGCAAUACCCAGGAAAACACAUCCAUGCAGUGCAGGCUCAGUGGUAAAGGUGGCCAAAGGUACCUAGAGAAAAAAGGGUUCUCAUUGUAAACAGAGCUACAUUUGAAGGAAUGGAACUCACAAACGGCAGGACCGUAGAAAUCUGCUUGGAGAUUGGACACAAAAGUCAUCACAAGCCUGUGGCUGCCUUAAUUUAUGUCUUAAACAUUUAUGUGCAUCCUCCCCUUUUCCUCCUCCUUCCCCUCCUGCUCUUAAAUUUCUCAGCUCUUCAAGAAAACAAACCACUUGUGUCGGUCCCUCCUGCAGUCGCAGCAGCACCGCUGAGAGCACCUCAGUGUACCAGCCUAAAACUCUACUUUGAAGUGUUUUCAAAGCAGAUAAAAACAAGGCAAAAAAAAUUUUUGUUCCACGUACAAAUUCAAGACAUUUUAUGAGAGUCAAAGUGUUAUGCUGGCAUAAGGCUAAAGUGGCAGAACACAAUCCUGCAAGCGAGGAACAGCCUCAUUUGCAUCAAGGAUGGCAGUGGCCAGAGAGCAGGGGGUGCUCAGGUGCUGUAAUAUAUGGUUAUAUUUAUUUUCCUUUAGCAGAAUGAGAACAAGGUACACCUGGCUUUGGUUGGUGUGCACAAAGCAGGCAUCUCCCCUUUCUGAUGCUGCAGAAUUUCUGUCCCUGUUUAUUAUUAGCAGGGCCUUGAUCUCCCAGGACCCCUCUCGUCUGACUCAAGUCCAGGUCUUCCUCUUGGAGCUAUUUUGAUGACUGAUAUGUGCUUUGCAGGUGUGCAUUGUGAUUUGAAGAUAUAAAAAAGCUCACAGGUUCUGUUAAAUUGGAGUAAGAAGAAAUACAAAAAAAGGUAACAAAUAGAAUAAUCAGACAGAGGCUUGGAAAAAAAUGAACAUAUUUGGUGGAAUUUUAAAGCACUUGUUUUAUGACUGAGGUGUAGAUAGACACCCAUCUGCCUGUCAGAUGUGCAAGACAUGCCCAUAUGGUGGCCCUAGUCUCAAUUUUUAUACCUGAACGUUGCUGACUGAUUUUACAGAAAGGUAUAAUAUUAUAUAAUUUGCUGUGGCCUUUUUACAAGUUGAACAGCAACUCAAACAUUGUUAUCUAGCCUGAUCACUUCAUAAACUGGUAUCUAAGAUACUGAAAUAGAUAGGAUAAUUAAAAUAACACACCUGUAUCUAUGAUAAUUUGUCCCUCUGGUGUUUAGUCCCCUUAUCUUCCAUGAUAUAUUUACAGCAUUUUCAUCUCAAUACCAUUUUAAUUACUAAGUGAACAAAAAAUUCCCUUUCCACAGUAAAACACACUUUUACUGUUUUCUAUUGCAGCUAAAAAAGGAAACAUAUAUAAAACCUUGGACACAGACAGUUAAUCAAGCUUAACCAAAGGCUAAUAACAAAGCAAGCAAAAUGGAAAAUAUAUAUGCUGGUGUCCUACUCUGCACUGCCACACAUUUUAUUAAAGAACAAGCUUAAUUUUUUUCAGGAUUGUAGAAGAGGCUUCAGCUCCAACAUUCAGAACAGCCUAUGGAGUCAGGAACAUUCUUCACUGCACUAUCCUACCAGAAUCUAAUUUUUAGUUGGACAUAAAAUUAGCUUGAAAGUUACUUUUUUCCUCCCUCACUUCUGUGUUCAGGGUUCAGCUCCCACAGACACCUGCCAGGUGAGGAGACAUCAAGUUCACAACCUUCAUGCUCCAGGGAGACAACUGCUGUACAACCAAACACAGAGAAAUAAACCUGAGGAGAACACUUCUGAGUGCCACCAAGCUGCUGAGCUACAGCAGCACCGACUGCCAUAAAGCCUUCCAGCAGCAAAACACGGGUUUGGAGGAACAGAGAACAGCUUCUUAACCCAUCAGGACAAGCACAACACUACUUCUGCAAAUACAUCAGAUUUGCAUAGAACAGAAUCAAUUAGGUUGGAAAAGACCUUUAAGAUCAUUGAGUCCAACUAUUAACCAAGCACUGCCAAGGCCACAUCUAAACCAUGUCCCCAAGUCCCACAUGGCUUUCAAAUGCCUUCAGAAGUAGCAGCUCAGCCACUUCCCCGGCCAGCCUGUUCCAAUGCCUCACAAUCCUUUCAGCAAAGAAAUUUUCCCUAAUAUCCAUUCUAAACCUCUCCUGGCACAUUUUGAGGCUGUUUCCUCCUGUGCCAUCACUUGUUACUUGGGAGAACAGACUGACUCCCACCUGGCUACAACUCUCCUGAGCCUCUUUUUCUCCAGACUGAACCCUCCAAGCUCCCUCAGCCGCUCCUCAUCAAGUCUUUGCUAUUUGCACAUCUGUUCUCUUUUUGGCCUGAACUUGAACUAUUUGUAAAGUUCCAAACAAAGCCACUCUAAAAGAAGGUGGAUUAUUUCCUUGUGAAGCAGGCAAUAGAAUUUGAUCUUUUCCUGGAGAAAAGUCUUUCCAAAACUCUGAGCUGCUACACUGGGGUCUCACCGCCCUGCGUGCACACACAGGCUCAACAAAUGAAGCAUCUGUGGCGCGCUAGGAUGGGAGCUCAACACCUGUAACACCACUCAGAGGUGCUGCAAAGGUACCAGGGAGCAGUUUUGGUUUGCAUCUAGAAAACCUGCAGCUGCUCCAACCAGGAGAGCCCUCACUCCAGCAGUGGGGAGUCUCACUCCGGCCAGCCCAGCACUGAUAAGAAAGGUCAAACAAACAGAAGCGCCACACGAGAAUUUGGGAGCACAGCUCGUGGUUCUAAGACGCAGCUACAAGGAAUGAUUAAGAUAAAAAUAUUUAACAGAACUGUACAGCCCUAGAUUUUGCUGAAGGGGUAGUAGAAAGUGGAGUUUGAAGAGGUGCUUUACAGAACUGAAUACACACCGAGCGUUGUUGACAACUGAGCUGCUCCCAGCAAGAUCAGAACAGAGGUUUAUUCUUCCUUUAUCAGAUUUGCCUUCCAAGUCUCUUUAGAGCAAAAGCACCGCCACAUACACACAAAAGUCUCAUCUUUAAAACCAAGGGCUUUGCAAUAAGUUUUUCCUCUGGAAAAAAAUGGAGGGGGGAGGAAGUGGAGGUCGAAUGAUUAUUAUUUUUUUCUUUUACAUAUAUUCUUCUGUCUCUGUGUCUUGGAAAGGGGAGAUUCAUCAACAGGCUUUUCCUCACCCCCUGAAGGUGAACACUGGAUAUGGUUGUACUCUCUCCAUUAAGGGACUAAAGUUGAAAUAAACACACAUCUGCCUGCUGCCCCCUGCCAGAAGAAAGGGGAGGGGAGGAAAAAACUCUACCAAAAAUCAAGAUGCAAACACUAAUUCUACAAAUAAUCUUUCUGGUACCAUAACUGGACUGAAUGAUUUGAUACUAUACACACCUAUUUUGUUCAGUCUAUUAACUCUGCACAGCAAAAAAAAAUAAAGAAUUCAUAAACUACAUAAAUACUUACUGAAGGCUGUUUCUCAAACUUCUAAUCCUGUCUAAACUUUGAUAAAUACUCCCAAACUCUUCUGAAAUCGAAACAGCAAGAAUUAAACUAGAACUCUCAGCAACAGUGUUAAUCACUGAAGAAAAGCAGUAAAACAAAUGAGGCUAUUUUGUCCCCUGAAUAUGGACAUUUUGAUACAGCACAUUUCUGCAGAUUUCUGUUCAAAAAGCAGUUUUUCCUACAGAGCUAAAUAUCCUCAUUAUAAAGUUAAAAAAAAAAAAAAUCCUUGCUUAAGGAAAAAAAAAAAAAAACAAACCAAAAAAACCACAACCAAAACCAAGGGAACAUUAUUCUUCAAAAAUUACUGAAAUGCUUUCUUUUAUUACCCCUCGGCCAAGAAGGCCUAAGUGGAGAUAAAUGCAAAUUUUGGAUGGAAACAAUGGCCUAUUUCUCAAGCUGUAGUGACUGCUAAUCAGAUUUAGAAAUCUGUAGGAAAACAAAAGGGGAAAGAAAGGAAAAGGGAAAGAGGAGGAGAAUAUGAAUGAGACUGAGAUGAAGAGAGAGGUAUGAAGGAAAACUUCUUUCUCCCACAAUUAAAUAACAACAACAACAACAUAAAACAAAACUAAACCAUGUUCCCUGUAACUGAGGACAAGGCUUGCAUCGUUUGACAGUCAGCGAAGAGUAAUUGUUCAUGCUUUUGUUAAUAUGUUCCACCAGGAUUUCUCUGAGCACUAGGAGCUGCUCACUGGUUUUGCAUAAUAAAGCCAACCUGAGAUCAGACACAACAAAACUCCAUUAUUCCCACACGUAUCUCAGUACAGAAGUCAGAAACUGCUCUUUGGAAUUACUGUCAUGAUCAGCACAGAAGGAUUUACAGAUGUAAUAAAGCCACGAGAAAGCAUCACCAACACCAUCUCUCCUUCAUUUUCCUCCUAGAACAACUACCUUUUAAAGGAGGAAUCACAAAGCUUAGUGGGGUAGAGCCCAGAUCAGAACCAAGGCUUUUAUCACAUCAUUAAAUUUAUAUCAUAUAUAUUUUUUAAAAUAUAUAUCAUGUAUAUAAUUUAAUUGAUCACAUUUGCUGAACUCCUGAAAUCUGGUUGAUAUGCACUAAAUGGAAGCGAGAUAAAUAAGCUGAGAGUGCUCCAAGGAAAUCUGCAUAUAGUUUCUCAAGGCCAAGCUGAAAUUUUCUUAUGCAGCAGAUGCCCAAGGGGUCUUUCAAUUUUAAGACCUACCUGGGAUGGGAACUGCUCCAAACCUUUUUAAAUCAGGCACAAAACCCCUUUCCAAUUACCUAAUUUUACCACAAUAUCCAUAGCAAAAUAUGCCUCCCUAUUUAUCCCUAGUUUGCCACACAAUACUUAGAGAUUUUUUUUCUCUUUUUUUUUUUUUUUUUGGUUGGUUGGUUUGGUUAGGUUUUGGGGGGUCUUAGCAUUUUUUUUCUAUAAUAAAGGGGAAAAAAAUCAAACAAUCUCUAUCUUGAGCUAUUUAUGAAGUCUCCAACUCUGAGGUGUCUACGCAUGUAACUCUUUCACCACUUGACUCUAAGAAGUGCUGAUAAGAAAGGACAUGUACACAUACCAAGUGCUUUAUUUAAACCACUUUCCCACUUCUUCAAAACAGAAUUUCAGUAACCUGGGAAAAGUGGUAAAUUAAUUUUUUUAUUAUUAUUUUUUAAUAUAUUUUGGGUCUGAAAUAAAGGGAUAUUUCCCAUCAUAGGAAAGAUAGAAUUUCUUUCUUUACUCUCCUCCUGUUGAAGCAAGCAAUGUCACCUUAAAGUGUCAGGUGGAAUUUAUUUCACUAAGCUAACAAUGCUCAUUUCCUUACCCUGUUGUUCCUUUAAAGCUUUGAGAGUCUACACACAGAUGUCUCUGAAAUGUAGUUCAUUUUAAACACAAGGAGGGAAGGGAAGAUGAGGAAUAGACAAACUUAUCUCACCAGAAAAUCUUUAUAGAAGCAUGUGUCCCUGAAGAAGAAAAGGCUUUAUGCUUAUAAUUCCAUUCAAUAUUUCUUUUCAAACAUUUGAAUAAUGGGCUUUACAGAACAUCUUUUUGAUACUAACUUAUCUUUAUAACUAAUAAAACCCUCUUACUGGGCUUUGUUACUUACAUCUAGAAUCCACAAAGUGUCUUUUACAAAUAAUAACCAUGGCUAAUUAUACAUAGUAAAUAACCUCAGUUGUCAAGGCUCCCCAUACAUCACUUUGCUAAAUAUUAAUCACAGCUUUAAGCUGUCUAAAAGCACGACAUUGGAGUGGGGGAUCUCUCCGGUAAAGGAUCCCGAACUAUCCAUCAAUAUCCCUUUUCAUAAAGAGAGCUGAUUAAACCUUCCUGGCCAGGGCUUUUAUGAGUUCACAUGCUGGUUCUCCCUGUUCCCAGGAAAUGGGAACACCAGCCCACCUUCAGCAGGGUGGGAGAGUUCUCAGCCUCCCCACAUCCACCAGGAGCCUGACGUGGCACAGCCGAGCCCGGGCAGGCAGCAGGAGCUGCACCAGCUUGGAUCUCCUCUUUCUUAAUUAGGACUUGAAACAAUAGGUGGGGAAAACUCAGGACCAAUGGCUAUUAUGUAUUAGCUUUCAUUUCUGUGCAUUGAUUGAGCUUAUGUUGUUUUAUGUGUGUGAUGAAAGGGCAAAUCAAAACCCAUUUCUCUUUCUUGUCAAUUCUCUUUCUCUUUUUCAACUAUUUAUCUUUGUAUUGUAUUGCAGCAACAGAUGGCACAUUAAAAAUGAAUUCACUUUUUGGGAAGUGUAUACUGUGGAGCUUAUUCUUACCAUCUAAAAUGACGAUGUAAUUAAAUUUCUUUUGGAAAGGUACCUAUAAAAUACAGUAACAUAAUGCCUACUUAAGGAACAAGACAUUUUACAGUAGAAGCUCUUGGGGAAGAACACAGGUCUUCCUGGCAUAAUAACUCUUUUAUCCUGGAUAUUUUCAUAUGAAUUGCUUACCUAGUUUAAAAAAUGUAUGCAUAUAAAUAUAUAAAUAUAUCACUCAGCUUAUUUCCCUCUCUGAUUUUCAUAGAGGAACCAGUUUCAAGUGUUUUCUACCUUAGUUUCUCCUGGCAUGUUUACAAACAAUUCUCUCAGCAGGACACACUAGAUAAGAUUAUCAUUCUUUAAAAAAUAGCUCCCAAUAAAUUCAAAUAAAUAAUGUUAUUGCCAGCAAGAACUGUACAGUAGGUCAGUUUACAUGCAACACUAUCAAUGUACACUUAGCAAGGUGCUUAGGAAAAACAACCUCCCAGUCACAUGAAAAAUUGUUUCCAGUUGCAGGCUCAUAGCAUUUUAAACCCUACUCAGGCGAUCCCAUUUGAGGAAUAAGAAACCAGGAUAACACCCAGGUACCAAACUUGCCUCACCAGCAUUAACACGUUUGCCACAAACAGAAAACAACAGGUUAAAUUCCUUCAAAGCACAGUCCCUAAUUUGGUGGCAAUUAAUCAGCUCAGAUAGGAGAAUCACAGGAAUAUCAGCUUUAUAGACCCAAAAUAAACAGCAGCAUGAAAUACAUCCCUUUCCUAUGAUCAACAGCGUCCAACAAUUACAGUGAUAGUCAUUAGCAGGCUGCAGAAAAAAGGGAAGCGUGUGUGUAGGAGGAGGGACAGGUCAUGCUGAAGCUGCCUUUUUAUUAAUCAUCAUUAGAGGAAGGGAAAAGAAGAAAUAUUAAGUUUCCAUUCUUAUUAAAUGUAGUAGUCAUUACUUUUUUAAACUUGAUUACCUGUUUUCAGAUCCUGAAAUCACUUUCGGAUGCUUGAAUGAAAAAAAAAAAACCCAAACAAACAAACACCAAAUAUAUAAAAACACCCUUCAACAGAGCAGGAACCCACAAAUCAUGGAGAAACAAGCAAGAUCACAGGAUGUGAUAGUGUCUGAUAAUGUUCUAUAAAGUUUCAGUUAUACCACCUUUAUUUUUAUUGUUUUCCUAUGCAGUUCCACUUCGCUACAUUAGCCUCUCUUUACGGAAAAAAAAAAAUCAAUUUGGAGGAAUUUACCCUUUAAUAACAAAAAAAAUAAAAGUAAAAAAAUCAAACAUCACUGCAUCUUCACUUUUUCUUUAGCUUAACAACGUCAAAACUAGACACUACCUUCACCUACUUUAAAAUAUUCCAUUAUAUAGGACAGAGCUAAUAAGCUCUGAGAAAAGGGAAUGGAUGGGUUUCCCACCACUGAGGUGGUUUAAAAAAUACAGAAAACCCUACAUGCUCCCCAGUCUUUAAAAUAUUGCAAUAUGAAUUUGGGGGAUUUUUUUUUUUAAAGUGCUGUUGUUAGAAAUUUCCUGUGCUUUCAUGAAAGACGGUAUUUAAACUGUUGUAACUUGGCCCAGGCAAAAGCAAUUUUCAGGAGGACACUGAAAGGCAAAUAUAUACAUACAAGGGACAGGUCUGCUAACAUGUUAAAUAAACCACACUUACACACAGAGCUUGACAGUUCCUUUCUAAAAUAAAUACAUUUGAAAGUAAAUACAUUGCCCUGUUGAGUCAGGUUGCAUUUCACAUCUCUGUUCUCCCUCCUCAAACCCCCCCAACAGUGUGUCAAAGAUGUUUUCAUCCCCUUGUUUGUCUGUCUCCCCUAAUCAGGACUCUGUUGUUGUACUGAGCAAGUCGGGGCAUUUAGUGAAAAUCAAGAUGGAUUUAGUUUGGAAUUAAGUAGAUCCCCAUGACAGGAAAUAUUAAGAGAUGAUGGAUGUCUGACAAAUAUUUAAAUUAAAAAAAAAAAAAAUCAACUCCCAUUUCAGAAGGCAGUCUGCAAAGCUAGAUUUAUGAAACUGAACUUUAAACUAAAAGGAACAUAUUUUUCCAGGCUUUAUGUAUUAGCAACAUUGCAUUUAAUUUAGAGAUUAAAUAAACACUAGUCUGAGGCAGCCCACGAGGGCUGAAAUGCUGCAUGAAGGCAGGCUUACAGUUUUGAGGCUAUGAAAUAUGUCUCCUGUUUUGACACUGUUGUAAUAGCAUAGUUGUUCACUUUCCUUGUUUCCAUGGGGUUUAUGGUCCAUAAAGUUUAAUAACAAUCUUAACAGCUGAACAGUGAGCACACAUCUCUGGGAGGCUUCUGUAAGAAACGGGAUCCGAGUUUUAUCCACGUAAUUUUUAGUGGUGGUACAUAUGUCCUGUCCUCACCCCUGCCCACGUGUGCCCACAAGACUAAAGAAGGCACCAAACGACACUGAUUCACCUCAGGAAAGAGGUCACAUGGCCUCACAUCCUCCAGGAGCUGAGUGAACAGCACUUGAAACACCGGCUCAGGUUAUGAAAUUGCGGAAAAAGUUUGAUCAGUAGGUCUCACAAGGAAAACAUCCAGGAGCACCCACAAAUAGCAGAGAAAAUUCAAGCCUGUAAGCCUCUUUUUCCAGAAAAGACACAUCUGGUUUUAUCUUCAGAAGUAGCCCAAAACAGACAGUAAAAGGGCUGAACAAACCACAGAAGGCUCCUCACAAGAUGGCAGGUUCCCAAAACACCUGCAACACACCUCGAACCUCCAUCUCACUCCAGCCUCCCGCUCAUCUUUGGCAACUGCUUUCUUUCCAGCUACCAAAAUCAAAAACCCAACAGCUAGAAGAGCUGAGAAACAUAAGAGCACUAAAACCAAUGUGGGAUUCACUUCAUCUCCCCUGGCUCAACAGAUGAUCCAGGGUCAGCCCUGCUGGCUUGUCUGGGCUCUGACACGAGUGUAUGAUGGACCUGCCUUAUGGACUGGGCUCUUUCCAGGACAGGGAAAGCAGUGCCACUGAUUUGUGAUCUGGAUCAGAAAGUAAAAUUUCCACACAGAAAUCGUGCAAUAUUGGUGAAAAUUUAACCUGAGAUCUGUUUUAUGCAGCCUGCUGGGAAGUUGUAGGUGAUACAAGCAACGUUGUUAGAAAAAGAAGACACCCUCAUCGUGCAGCUUGGCUUUGACUUUAACUUUGAUUAAUUUGUGACUGCCUUGCACUGGAGUCCCACAUGUUGAAGAGCUAUGUUGGUUCAAACCAUCUGAAGAUAAGGCUCUCUGUCUACUAAUAAUUCCACCUAUUCCACCAUUUUCAUGAUUUUUAGGGGUCUUUUGAAAAGUAAAAGGGAACAUUCAACUUUCAAACCUGAAUUUACAUAACUAUUUGUAAGGAGGAGCUCUGUACUAGUACAGAAUAUUAAAUGACUUCCCCCUUUUUAAAUAAUUGAAUAGAUUUCAACUUGAUUGUUUCUCUUUUAACAUUUCAGUAGAUCAUUUUUUUUCAAUGAAUUUGACACAUCAAGUAAUAUCAGAGUAAAUCUACCUAAAAUAUUUACAAUUACUUGCAAGAUAUUUUCACAUGAACCAGUAAAUUGAAACUUCCUCUCAGAGGAGAGACAUAAAAAAGUCAUUUUUAUGGUGGUUAUUGUAAUUUUAAUAGGCAAUUUCAUAGGUAAACAGAAGUGCUUGAUCUCCAUUCACUACUGUAUAACAGGCUGUGCUGCAUAUCUAAUGGAAUCACAUGGAUUUGUGUACAAAAUGAACAAGAAUUAUAAAUGGCUCCUUCUGUGA